rnacentral:rRNA from 1 species
UACGUAGGGGCAAGCGUUAUCCGGAAUUAUUGGGCGUAAAGAGUGCGUAGGUGGACUUGCAAGCCUUUGGUGAAAGGCUACGGCUUAACCGUAGUAAGCCUUAGGAACUGUAAGUCUUGAGUGCAGGAGAGGAAAGCGGAAUUCCUAGUGUAGCGGUGAAAUGCGUAGAUAUUAGGAGGAACACCAGUUGCGAAGGCGGCUUUCUGGGCCACGACUGACGCUGAGACGCGAAAGCUAGGGGAGCGAACAGGAUUAGAUACCCUGGUAGUCCCUGAG